rnacentral:rRNA from 1 species
UACAGAGGGGGCAAGCGUUGUUCGGAAUUACUGGGCGUAAAGGGUGUGUAGGUGGCGCCGUAAGUCGGGGGUGAAAUUUCGGAGCUUAACUCCGAAACUGCAUUCGAUACUGCGGUGCUUGAGGACUGGAGAGGAGACUGGAAUUCAUGGUGUAGCAGUGAAAUGCGUAGAGAUCAUGAGGAAGACCAGUGGCGAAGGCGGGUCUCUGGACAGUUCCUGACACUGAGACACGAAGGCCAGGGGAGCAAACGGG